GGAUGUGAGGGCGAUCUGGCUGCGACAUCUGUCACCCCAUUGAUCGCCAGGGUUGAUUUGGCUGAUCUGGCUGGCUAGGCGGGUGUCCCCUUCCUCCCUCACCGCUCCAUGUGCGUCCCUCCUGAAGCUGCGCGCUCGUUCGAAGAGGACGGCCUUCCCCGAAUAGAGACGGACCGGUCUUCGGCCGAGGGUAUACGAGUAGCUGCGCUCCCCUGCUAGAACUUCCAAACAAGCUCUCAAGGUCCAUUUGUAGGAGAACGUAGGGUAGUCAAGCUUCCAAGACUCCAGACACAUCCAAAUGAGGCGCUGCAUGUGGCAGUCUGCCUUUCUUA
rnacentral:snRNA from 1 species